UGCCUCAGGCCUGGGGGACAUGUGGAGAGGAGUCCAUGGGGUGAUGACCAGUUCUGAGGAAGGAGGCCCAGUGAAUAGAGUGACCUGCUGUCCCAGUGUGCCAAGACUGAAGAAGUGCCUGGGAUAUGGGAAUGUUAGUCCUCAAGCCAAGGAAGUCCUAGGUAAGACAGGCCCAGUGGGUCACCUAGUUGGGGAAGAGGGGGAAAUGGAGAUGAGGAGGGACCUGAGGAGGUGAGGAGGGAUCUGAGAAAGUGAGGGGAGAUUUGGGGAGCUGAGGGGGGAUGUGAAGGCGGGGAGGGAUCUGAGGAGGUUAGGAGGGAUCUUAGGAGGUGAGGAGGGAUCAGGGGAGCUGAGGGGGGAUCUGAGGAGGUGAGGAGGGAUCUGGGGAGGUGAGGGGGGAUCUGAAGAAGUGAGGAGAGAUCUAAGGAGGUGAGGGGGGAUCUGAUGAUGUGAGGGGUGAUCUGAGGAGGUGAGGAGGGAUCUGAGGAGGUGAGGGGGAAUCUUAGGAGGUGAGGGGGAUCUUAGGAGGUAUCAGAAGAUCUGGGGAGGUGAGGGUGAAUUUGAGGAGGAGAGGAUGGAUCUGAGGAGGUGAGGAGGCAUCUGUGGAAGUGAGGGUGGAUCUGGGGAGGUGAGGGUGGAUUUAAGGAGAUGAGAGGGGAACUGGCGAGGUGAAGGGAGAUAGUGAGGCAGUAAGGAGGCUCAGCUUGACUGUGGCUGCUUCCAAAUCUUUUUCAGCUGGGUGUGAUUGCUCAUGACUGUAAUUCCAGCACUUUGGGAGGCCAAGGAGGAAGACCAUAGAGGUGAACUGUCCGCUUCAUCACAUCAUGCCAGACAGUCCGUACCCUCAACCUGCCUCAUCCCUGGGGAUGAUGACCUUGACACUUGUUCAAGGUCAUGUUUGCAAGGUUUCUCCACUGUCCAGCCACUUUCCCCCACAUGCAGACUCUGUCCUUUGGAAGCAAGUGAUUGAGCACAGCCAUUGCUCAGAGUGGGUGGGUGGGGGGGAAGUAAGCUCCACUCCUUGGAGAGGAAAAUAGCUGCAUAAAUUAUUAAAAAUUCUUCUGUAAAGAAGAUCUCUCUUCUUCCCAUUUAUUUAUUUAUUCAUCCAUUUAUCAUGCAUUUAUUUAUAUCACUAGGAACUCAUGCAUAUUUAUUUGCUACUUUGGUUGUGAUUCAGUCCUAUGUUAUUUAUUUUGUUGCUCACAUUGUUUCAGCUUUGGCGGUUGGAUGGUUAGGUUUUCAGAUUGGGUCCUGUGUCCUUUGACGUUUCCAUCCUUUUGUUCUUCAGAGCACUUCCUUCCUUUCUGGCACCAAAAGAGGCUCCAUGCCCAUUUCACAUCUUCUGCAUCCUGAUCCCAGAAUCAGUCAUGUCUCCAAGCAGUCCCAGCUCCUUUCAUUGAAGAAUGGCAUUUAGAAAACAUGUUUGUAGGGUAUUGUUGCCUCUAGGUGCCCUCUGUGUCUAGAGUGAGAAAAACCUGAGUCCGUGCUUAUGUUCCCGCCUCUAAUCCAGGGGUGCAUGGCACAUCCCGGCCCUCCUUGUGCUUAUCUGUCAUUGUCCUCUCUGCCAGUGAGGACCUGGCUGCCACCACCCACCAUUCUUUUACUUGUUUAUUCCAUGUCAUAUACAUGCAAAGCAGAUUCAGAUUUUUCAGCCCUUCUCCUGUGAGUAAUAACUUUUCCAAGGAGAGUAUAGUGAUUAUUUAUGGCUGUUUUUGUCUUUAACCUUAGAGCUUCCAGUCAAAACACCGUUUUCCAAAGUGCCUUAGGUCCGCUGCCCUUCCUUGUGUGCCUGCAGGAGUUUCUCUCAUAGGGCCACGUGCAGUGGCUCACGCCUGUAAUCCCAGCACUAUGGGAGGCAGAGGUGGGCAGACCACAAGGUCAGAAGUUCGAGACCAUCCUGGCCAAGUGGUGAAACCUCAUCUCUAUUAAAAAUUAAAAAAAAAAAAAAAUUAGCCGUGCCUGGUGGUGCGCUCCUGUAAUCCCAGCUACUCAGGAGGCUGAGGCCCAAGCCACCAGGAGGCAAGGAGGUCACAGUGAGCCAAGAUCAUGCCAUUGCACUCCAGCCUGGCUGACAGAGUGAGACUCUGUCUCAAAAAAAAAAAAAAAAGAAGUUUUCCUCACUUGACCCAGUUUGCAUUCCUUCCUGGCACCUUCUGUCAUCUUGGUUGGUUUUGUAAAAUCUGUGUGUGUGAACCUUCACUUUUGUGACGCACAGUCUUGUGGGCUUUGAUUACUGCCUAGGGCCUUGCCUCUGCUGCCCUAGUACUGCACAGAGAGUUCUAUGCCCUUGGAAUUCUGCCGUGUGUUCACUUUGCAGUAGCUGGCGUGGAUGUGCUUCCCAUCCCUUCCCGACUGCAGGAUGGGGAUCCCUACAUGAAAGCCAGACUCGUUGGGCUGGCUCCUUCGAAAACUUAGGCCACCAGCCCUGUGUCACAUGAAUUAAUAGCAUGCUCCUUUCGAGCCCUGGGCAGUAUUCCAUGGCAUGGAUGCACCAGUGGUUUAUCCAUUCCCAGACUGAAGGACGUCUUGGUGGCCACCAGUUUCUGGUGGUUAUGAAUAAAGCUGCUACAAACAUUGGAGAGGUUUCUGUGCAAAAAUAAGUCUUAAGUUCUCUGGGACAAAUGAGUCUAGUUUGGGGCUGUGA
ensembl:lncRNA